GUCAACACCGAGCUGCCCGAGACAGGCUCACAGACCUCACGCGAAUCCGGUCCUCCCCCUAGGCCCUAGUGCUUCGUCGUAUGCCGCCGCCGGCCUGGCUGCUCGGCGCCGUCCUUGCUCCUCUGCGACGCCACCACCGGCCGGGCUCGGAGCGCCACCCCUGCUCGCCCGCACCCGCGCCGCCAGCGAGGGCGCCGCCGGAGGCCGGUCUCGCAGCGCCGCCCCUACUCGCCCGCCCCCGCGCCGCCGGCGAGGGCGCCUCCGCAGGCCGGGCUCGCAGCGCCACCCCUGCUCGCCCGCACCCACGCUGCCGGCGAGGGCGCCGCCGCAGGCCGGGUUCGUAGCGCUGACCCUGCUCGCCCGCCCCCGCGCCGCCAGCGAGGGAGCCUCCACAGGCCGGGCUCGCAGCGCCGCCCCAACUGCCUCCGGGCUCUGCGUGGCGUUCCAGGUCGAUGCCUUUCAAAUUCUCUUCUGCAUCCACUCUGCUCAGCUCGUCCGUGUUCAAUCCUGCCCUCUCUGUUCUGAUGGCCAUUUCAAUUCCCCCCAUCCGCUUUCAAGCCAUUCUGUUCUUUGGUUGGAGCCAGCGCCAAGGUCGCCUCAAGAGAUGGUAUUCCCGACAGCCUCUCCAUUGACAAGAACUCAAUCAGAAGUAGAACCGAAGGAGUACAAUGGAUCAAAGACAUGGAUCAAAGCACUGAAUCUCCAAGGAGUCCAUACGAAGAUCAAGACAACCGAAGGAUGGAUCUUCUCACAGGCAGUUCAGCAUGUCUAUUUGACUUUACCAUGGUGACUAGCACGGGAUUGCAAAGCCUCUGUGUAAUGAUAGGCCUGAUGAAUUAUGUGUAAUGUCUGAACAAAAGGAUGUAUUGUGCAGACGCAUCCUCGCUGUAAACGGCAUCUGAAUAUAUUCAGUGUGUAAUUCAGUACAUAGGUUUGAUUUAUUAUGUGUAUCUGAAUAUAUUCAGUGUGUAAUUCAGUACAUAGGUUUGAUUUAUUAUGUGUAAUGCCUCUCCGAAAGGAUGGAUUGGCAAUGGCAAUUGUGCCUUCUGUGUAAUGAACUUGUGUGUUGAGAAUGAAAAUGAAUGAAAUAUGUUUCACAAUCCA